AGUGCUUUUCGGAGUUACAAGAGACUAGGUGGACAAUCUAAGGGAACUAAAUUAACAUGGAUUCCAGCACAGUGUGCUCAACAACCGGGAUCACUAGAUUGUGGCUACUACGUCAUGCGUUUUAUGUACGACAUAAUAAUGAAUCAUGGUAAUAGUCAAGAUAUUACUAAGGAUUUUUCAAGAACAUUGCCUUACUCACCGGAGGAGAUUAAUGAGGUGAAAGAUUUUUGGGCAGAUUACUUCAUGAACAAUAUCGAAUUUUUAGCUUAAUUUGUAAUAUUAACUUGAUCUCUAGCUAGCUACGUACCUUUGUUGUAAUAAUUUUAUGUUUGUUGUAACAUGUUGGUUGAUCUAUGACGAAUUUAAUUGCCUUUUAUUGGGAACGUUAAUUACGUUGUAAACUUUUGUGACAGGUAUUAUUUAUAAAUGUAUUCCCGGUAUUGGGAAUGAAGCGUCUAAU